rnacentral:lncRNA from 1 species
AUUUCCUCAGCUGCAAACUGGGGCUCGUAAUAGUAUCCGCCUCCCAGUUCUGAGCAUUCUGCAAGAUGAAUUACGUAGUGGGGCACAGCGCGGUCCACAGAGGUUUCCCGGGGAGGCUCGCCGCUGGGACUCCCGGCUCCCCGCACAGUCUGAGGGCUGCACCCCUGUGUGUGCUUUCAGAGAGGUCCGCCCGGAGAACCGGGGCCCCCGGGUCCCCCAGGGCCGCCGGGAGUGCCUGGAUCUGACGGCAUCGACGGUGACAAGGGGCCCCCCGGGAAAGCUGGCCCUCCGGGACCUAAGGGAGAGCCUGGCAAAGCAGGGCCGGAUGGGCCAGACGGGAAGCCUGGGAUUGACGGUCUAACUGGAGCCAAGGGGGAACCUGGCCCCGUGGGGAUCCCUGGAGUCAAGGGCCAGCCCGGGCUCCCAGGUCCCCCUGGCCUGCCGGUGAGUGUAAUCUGCAAGGGCUU